rnacentral:rRNA from 1 species
GCCAGGGAACUACGAGCCAAGCUUAAAACCCAAAGGACUUGACGGUACCCCAUAUCCCCCUAGAGGAGCCUGUCCUAUAAUCGAUAAUACCCGCUAAACCUCACCAUUUUUAGCUUCUCAGCCUGUAUACCUCCGUCGUCAGCUUACCUCGUGAGCGCAAUUCAGUGAGCCUAAUGUAUAUUCAUCAACACGUCAGGUCAAGGUGCAGUAAAUAAAAUGGGAAGAGAUGGGCUACACUCUCUAACAUAGAAAAUACGAAAGACUAUUUAUGAAAUUUAGUCAGAAGGCGGAUUUAGAAGUAAAAAGAGAUCAUAGUGCUCUUUUUAACUCGGCACUGGGGUGUGUACACACCGCCCGUCAUCCUCUUCAAAGCCAAUAGACAGUAAUUAACCCACCUUAGCAUCUUAGAAGAGGCAAGUCGUAACAUGGUAAGCGUACCGGAAGGUGUGCUUGGAAA